UGACAUCAUCUUCUGGCAAGUAUUACCUCUCAUACCCUGGACACAAGAAAAUGGAAAAUAUUAGAUAGAAGUGCUGUCUUGGAGAUAAAGUGAGGGGUGCGUGUGAAGCAUCCAACACAGUAGGUAACAGUGACGCCAGCUCACUCUGAGCAGCCCUACGUAUGUGACCUGCAGACGCCAGCUCCAGGGUCAGCCUCCAUUCUCUCCUCCUCUGCACUGAGCAGUGACAUCUGUCUCCCACUGUGGGCGGAAAGACCCUCCCACUGGAAGAGAAAAGGGCUUCUCUUUCCCCCCAAGUUCUUUGUUCUGGACCUUUGGCUUACAGAGCCCUGCAGGUGAUCGGACAAGGAUCAAAGCCAGGGCCAGGCUUCCGGAACAGCUCCUUCUCCUCCUGUGGUCCCAAGUUAUCCAAAGUCCUAAGAAAUCCCUUCCAGACUUCUUGGCUUCCCUUGAGACUGUCUGCCUUUUUCAGAGACUAGUAUAGUUUGAAAAGAGCCAGUUCCUCUUAGCACAGAGACCAAUUCUAGCCUGGGAACCGCCAGUGUGGCAGGCAGGUAUGGAAGUCCAGUGGGCAACAUGAAGGGAUUUCUAGGUCCUUGUGUCCCAGAAUGAGAAAUUGCACAAGGACAGAUGGAUGGGGACAGAGGCUGCGAGAGCUCAUUAAGAGGGUGCACUUUCCAAGGGAAAAAUAGGCUGGAGCAGGAAGGGAAGACACUUAGACUCACAGUGGUGCCAUGUCCAGCCAGUCGAGGCCCUUGUAGAUAAUCGCUAUAGUGCACUUUUUUUUGCACAUACUAGAUUACAUGUUGGCCUUGGUCUACGGGAUUUCCAGUCUUCCUCUCUGACAACUGCUUUCUUUUCCAUGCUGAAUUGGACCUCACUCUCCCUGACACUCUCAAGCUACAACCAGGGCUGGAGUCUGAGUACAGGGAACCUGGAGAGGCAGAUCGUCACAUACCCCUCACUGAUAUACUGUACAGUUUCAAGUGAACAGAGUGUAACUGUGAUAAACACAAUGCAGAUACUUUAAGAGCCUUUCCGCCUUUUAUCCCCAUUGGAUAUAAUGUAUUCCAUCAGUGGAUACAGAAAGAAUGACUUCCAUCGAGUAA